rnacentral:rRNA from 1 species
AACACAUGCAAGUCGCACGAGAGGGGGGCAACCCCUGAAAGUGGCGCACGGGUGCGUAACACGUAGAUAAUCUGCCCUUUGGCGGGGGAUAACGUUCCGAAAGGAGCGCUAAUACCGCAUACAGCGUUUGGUGGUUCGCCACUGGACGGCAAAGGUUGGGACCGGCAACGGCCAAUCACCGAAGGAGGAGUCUGCGGCCCAUCAGCUAGUUGGUAAGGUAACGGCUUACCAAGGCAAAGACGGGUAGUUGGUCUGAGAGGAUGAUCAGCCACACUGGUACUGGAACACGGACCAGACUCCUACGGGAGGCAGCAGUGGGGAAUCUUGGUCAAUGGGCGAAAGCCUGAACCAGCGACGCCGCGUGAGUGAUGAAGGCCUUCGUGUUGUAAAGCUCUGUGGGGAGAGACGAAAGCCUGCGUUCUAACAGGAUGCAGUUUGACGGUAUCUCCUUAGCAAGCACCGGCUAACUCCGUGCCAGCAGCCGCGUUAAGACAGAGGGUGCAAACGUUGCUCGGAAUCACUGGGCGUAAAGGGCGUGUAGGCGGGAAGGUAAGUCGGGCGUGAAAUCCCUGGGCUCAACCCAGGAACUGCACUCGAAACUACUUUUCUUGAGUGCCGGAGAGGAAAGCGGAAUACCUGGUGUAGAGGUGAAAUUCGUAGAUAUCAGGUGGAACACCAGUGGCGAAGGCGGCUUUCUGGACGGUAACUGACGCUGAGACGCGAAAGCGUGGGGAGCAAACAGGAUUAGAUACCCUGGUAGUCCACGCUGUAAACGAUGAGCGCUAGGUGUCGUGGGUAUUGACCCCCGCGGUGCCGAAGCUAACGCAUUAAGCGCUCCGCCUGGGAAGUACGGUCGCAAGACUAAAACUCAAAGGAAUCCUUGUCUCGUCCUCUGCCUGAU